rnacentral:rRNA from 1 species
AUUGAACGCUGGCGGCAGGCCUAACACAUGCAAGUCGAACGAGUGGCGGACGGGUGAGUAAUGUCUGGGAAACUGCCUGAUGGAGGGGGAUCACUACUGGACACGGUCGCUAAUACCGCAUACCAUCGGAUGUGCCCAGAUGGGAUUAGCUAGUAGGUGGGGUAACGGCUCACCUAGGCGACGCUCCCUAGCUGGUCUGAGAGGAUGACCAGCCACACUGGAACUGAGAAACGGUCCAGACUCCUACGGGAGGCAGCAGUGGGGAAUAUUGCACAAUGGGCGCAAGCCUGAUCCAGCCAUGCCGCGGGGGUGAAGAAGGUCUUCGGAGUGUAAAGCAAUUUAAGGUGGGAGGCGGUACCAACAGAAUAAGCACCGGCUAACUUCGUGCCAGCAGCCGCGGUAAUUC